rnacentral:rRNA from 1 species
CAGCCGCCACGGUAAUACGAAGGGGGCUAGCGUUGCUCGGAAUGACUGGGCGUAAAGGGCGCGUAGGCGGAUGGCACAGUCAGAUGUGAAAUUCCCGGGCUUAACCUGGGGGCUGCAUUUGAUACGUGUUGUCUAGAGUGAGGAAGAGGGUCGUGGAAUUCCCAGUGUAGAGGUGAAAUUCGUAGAUAUUGGGAAGAACACCGGUGGCGAAGGCGGCGACCUGGUCCUUUACUGACGCUGAGGCGCGAAAGCGUGGGGAGCAAACAGGAUUAGAUACCCGCGUAGUCCCUGUCUCUUAUAA